GUCAAGUCAGCAUGCCCCUUAUAUCCUGGGCUACACACGUGCUACAAUGGUAAAGACAAUGAGUCGCAAGCUCGCGAGAGUCUGCUAAUCUGGUAAACUUUGCCUAAGUUCAGAUUGUAGGCUGCAACUCGCCUGCAUGAAGUCGGAAUCGCUAGUAAUCGCUGGUCAGCCAUACAGCGGUGAAUCCGUUCCCGGGCCUU
rnacentral:rRNA from 1 species